rnacentral:misc_RNA from 1 species
AACGCACCUUGCACCCUUUGGUAUUCCGAAGGGUACACCCGUUUGAGUGUCAUUGUAAUCUCACUCCACCGGCUAUUUGUUGAUGGAUGUGGACCUGGACUCUGUUGUGUUACUACAACUGGUCUGAAAUGCAUGAGUGCACCCUGCUAUUGCAGUGUUUUCAGUGUGAUAAGCAUCUUCACUGGACCAAGCUCCCUUGGGACACACAGCAUUGUGGGCUCUGUGCUGGCAAACUGUCUUUGGACAACUUUGACAAUUUGACCUCAGAUCGGGUGGGACUACCCGCUGAACUUAA